rnacentral:rRNA from 1 species
AGCGAACGCUUGCGGCAGGCCUAACACAUGCAAGUCGAACGAAGUCUUCGGACUUAGUGGCGGACGGGUGAGUAACACGUGGGAACGUGCCUUUAGGUUCGGAAUAACUCAGGGAAACUUGUGCUAAUACCGAAUGUGCCCUUCGGGGGACAGAUUUAUCGCCUUUAGAGCGGCCCGCGUCUGAUUAGCUAGUUGGUGAGGUAAAGGCUAACCAAGGCGACGAUCAGUAGCUGGUCUGAGAGGAUGAUCAGCCACAUUGGGACUGAGACACGGCCCAAACUACUACGGGAGGCAGCAGUGGGGAAUCUUGCGCAAUGGGCGAAAGCCUGACGCAGCCAUGCCGCGUGAAUGAUGAAGGUCUUAGGAUUGUAAAAUUCUUUCACCGGGGACGAUAAUGACGGUACCCGGAGAAGAAGCCCCGGCUAACUUCGUGCCAGCAGCCGCAGUAA